GUCCACGCCGUAAACGAUGAUAACUAGUUGUUCGGGCACUUGGUGCCUGAGUGACGCAGCUAACGCAUUAAGUUAUCCGCCUGGGGAGUACGGUCGCAAGAUUAAAAACUCAAAGGAAUUGACGGGGGGCCUGCACAAGCGGUGGAGCAUGUGGUUUAAUUCGAAGCAACGCGCAGAACCUUACCAGCGUUUGACAUCCCGCGCUAACCCAAGAGAUUGGGUGUUCCCUUCGGGGACGCGGUGACAGGUGCUGCAUGGCUGUCGU
rnacentral:rRNA from 1 species